AUUGAACGCUAACGGCGUGCUUAACACAUGCAAGUCGAGCGGCAGCAUGACUGUAGCAAUACAGUUGAUGGCGAGCGGCGGACGGGUGAGUAAUGCAUAGGAAUCUGCCUUGUAGUGGGGGAUAACCCGGGGAAACUCGGGCUAAUACCGCAUAAUCUCUACGGAGCAAAGUGGGGGAUCGUAAGACCUCACGCUAAAAGAUGAGCCUAUGUUGGAUUAGCUAGUUGGUGAGGUAAUGGCUCACCAAGGCGACGAUCCAUAGCUGGUCCGAGAGGAUGAUCAGCCACACUGGGACUGAGACACGGCCCAGACUCCUACGGGAGGCAGCAGUGGGGAAUAUUGGACAAUGGGCGAAAGCCUGAUCCAGCAACGCCGUGUGUGUGAAGAAGGCCUUCGGGUUGUAAAGCACUUUUAGUUGGGAAGAAAAGCUCAUGGGUAAUAUCCAUGAGUGCUGACGUUACCAACAGAAAAAGCACUGGCUAACUCUGUGCCAGCAGCCGCCGCGG
rnacentral:rRNA from 1 species